AAGAAGCCUCCCCGUUGGAUAUCUUCUUCUUUCCAGAUUUUGGUACUACUGUUUGCGUGCUAGGAAUUGUAAGCUACUGUGUGUUGCUCUGUUCCACCGUUUUUCCUCAUUCCUAUUUCAUAUCUCUUCUUCUUUCCAGAUUAUGAUUAUAUGAUUUGUUGACAGUGGACAGGCAUGAUGAUCUGUGCUCCCCAUUUCUUCAUCAAGUACUGAUUGAUCUUAGGAUGCAAUGAGGAGGAUGAAUGUUGAUGGUGGACAAGCCUGGCUAGAACAGGGACAGAGACAGCAAGUUGAGGAGAAGAAUGAAGAAAUUAAUGAAGCGAGGGCUAGAUGUGAAAGGACGGAGAGAGAUGCGAUGCGAUGCUAAACUUGGUCUUUUUGUAGGAUUUGUGCUAGGUAGAGGAUCAAUGUUGUGGCUAGAUGAUGUAAAGGUUGGAUGAACUGAUCUGUUAUGAGUGGGCUCUGUACUCAAACUAUGAAAAUUAUGAGUCGAACUUCACAUUUUGUACUAAAUUUUCUGUGAUGUAUGGCCUUUGUGCUCAAUUUAUGAAAAAUAUGACCGGAAC
rnacentral:lncRNA from 1 species